AGUGACGAUAGCCUAGGAGAUACACCUGUACCCAUGCCGAACACAGAAGUUAAGCCCUAGAACGCCGGAAGUAGUUGGGGGUUGCCCCCUGUGAGAUAGGGGAAGCGCUUAGCUCUAGGGAGUUUAGCUCAGCUGGGAGAGCA
rnacentral:rRNA from 1 species